rnacentral:lncRNA from 1 species
AUGGAAUUUCUUCCACCGGCAAGAGUACCUCUGUUUGUCUCCUUCUACUUUAAUGAAAAGCCUAGUCUCUUGAUACUAACUCAUUUUUUAGUAUCGGUGCUUACUGUACGAUGAAUGCCCCAUCCCAUUCCUUUUUCUUAUUCUAUAACCUUACCAAUUAAUGGCUUAAGCCGCUGUUACCAUUUCCGCAACCUAAACCUAACUAAUACUUAGUUGUUUCCAUUUCCUCAUCUGGUGAUAGAUCCUCAUCUUCUUCUGGCUCAAAUCUCACAUCCAGGGCACGCUCAUACCAAUAGCUUUAGGUAUGCUUUAGUUUGAGAUCAUUAAAGAUAUGCUCGACCUCGUUUAUGUCGUACCAUCACAUGUACCUUCAACUAUCAACCAGAUGAGAUAGGACUUUGAAAGGUCAGAGUCAGUCUCCUCUUUUAGGUCGUUUAGCAGUUCCCCAACCAGCUUUCUCCCCAAGAAAGCAUUCCAGAGAUUAAAAGAAAAAGGUUUGAAGGCUGAUCUCUGGGAUCAGUGAUAGUUCGGAACCAGCAAACGGAGGCUGAAAAGCCGUAGUGCGUUAGCACGCUCUUCCGUUUUUCAGCAGACUUCGACAGCU